AUGAACGCUGGCGGCGUGCCUAAUACAUGCAAGUCGAGCGGAUGACGGGAGCUUGCUCCCGGAUUCAGCGGCGGACGGGUGAGUAAUGCCUAGGAAUCUGCCUGGUAGUGGGGGACAACGUUUCGAAAGGAACGCUAAUACCGCAUACGUCCUACGGGAGAAAGCAGGGGACCUUUGGGCCUUGCGCUAUCAGAUGAGCCUAGGUCGGAUUAGCUAGUUGGUGAGGUAAUGGCUCACCAAGGCGACGGUCCGUAACUGGUCUGAGAGGAGGAUCAGUCACACUGGAACUGAGACACGGUCCAGACUCCUACGGGAGGCAGCAGUGGGGAAUAUUGGACAAUGGGCGAAAGCCUGAUCCAGCCAUGCCGCGUGUGUGAAGAAGGUCUUCGGAUUGUAAAGCACUUUAAGUUGGGAGGAAGGGUUGUAGAUUAAUACUCUGCAAUUUUGACGUUACCGACAGAAUAAGCACCGGCUAACUCUGUGCCAGCAGCCGCCGUAA
rnacentral:rRNA from 1 species